AGAGUUUGAUCCUGGCUCAGAACGAACGCUGGCGGCAGGCCUAACACAUGCAAGUCGAGCGCGCUUUCGGGCGAGCGGCGGACGGGUUAGUAACGCGUGGGAACGUGCCCAGAUCUACGGAAUAGCCACUGGAAACGGUGAGUAAUACCGUAUACGCCCUUCGGGGGAAAGAUUUAUCGGAUUUGGAUCGGCCCGCGUUAGAUUAGGUAGUUGGUGGGGUAACGGCCUACCAAGCCUACGAUCUAUAGCUGGUUUUAGAGGAUGAUCAGCAACACUGGGACUGAGACACGGCCCAGACUCCUACGGGAGGCAGCAGUGGGGAAUCUUGGACAAUGGGGGCAACCCUGAUCCAGCCAUGCCGCGUGAGUGAAGAAGGCCCUAGGGUCGUAAAACUCUUUCGCCUGUGAUGAUAAUGACAGUAGCAGGUAAAGAAACCCCGGCUAACUCCGUGCCAGCAGCCGCGGUAAUACGGAGGGGGUUAGCGUUGUUCGGAAUUACUGGGCGUAAAGCGCACGUAGGCGGAUUAGAAAGUUAGAGGUGAAAUCCCGGGGCUCAACCCCGGAACUGCCUUUAAAACUACUAGUCUAGAGUUCGAGAGAGGUGAGUGGAAUUCCGAGUGUAGAGGUGAAAUUCGUAGAUAUUCGGAGGAACACCAGUGGCGAAGGCGGCUCACUGGCUCGAUACUGACGCUGAGGUGCGAAAGUGUGGGGAGCAAACAGGAUUAGAUACCCUGGUAGUCCACACCGUAAACGAUGAAUGCCAGUCGUCGGGUAGUAUACUAUUCGGUGACACACCUAACGGAUUAAGCAUUCCGCCUGGGGAGUACGGUCGCAAGAUUAAAACUCAAAGGAAUUGACGG
rnacentral:rRNA from 1 species